rnacentral:rRNA from 2 species
AGAUGGGAGCUUGCUCCCUGAUGUUAGCGGCGGACGGGUGAGUAACACGUGGGUAACCUGCCUGUAAGACUGGGAUAACUCCGGGAAACCGGGGCUAAUACCGGAUGGUUGUCUGAACCGCAUGGUUCAGACAUAAAAGGUGGCUUCGGCUACCACUUACAGAUGGACCCGCGGCGCAUUAGCUAGUUGGUGAGGUAACGGCUCACCAAGGCGACGAUGCGUAGCCGACCUGAGAGGGUGAUCGGCCACACUGGGACUGAGACACGGCCCAGACUCCUACGGGAGGCAGCAGUAGGGAAUCUUCCGCAAUGGACGAAAGUCUGACGGAGCAACGCCGCGUGAGUGAUGAAGGUUUUCGGAUCGUAAAGCUCUGUUGUUAGGGAAGAACAAGUGCCGUUCAAAUAGGGCGGCACCUUGACGGUACCUAACCAGAAAGCCACGGCUAACUACGUGCCAGCAGCCGCGGUAAUACGUAGGUGGCAAGCGUUGUCCGGAAUUAUUGGGCGUAAAGGGCUCGCAGGCGGUUUCUUAAGUCUGAUGUGAAAGCCCCCGGCUCAACCGGGGAGGGUCAUUGGAAACUGGGGAACUUGAGUGCAGAAGAGGAGAGUGGAAUUCCACGUGUAGCGGUGAAAUGCGUAGAGAUGUGGAGGAACACCAGUGGCGAAGGCGACUCUCUGGUCUGUAACUGACGCUGAGGAGC